AUAUAUGGACUGAGAAAUCUGCCACAUUUCUGCAGGAAGAACGUUGGCUUGGAGGAGUGGCCUCAGGCCAUCUAUGUAACAGGCCUCUCUCCCUUCAGUCUGGGAGAGAGUGCCAUAAAAGUACCCACGCUGGUAAGGGUAACAACACUGUAGUAAAACUUUUUUUUUUUUUUACUUUCUUUUUGCUACUGAACCCUGUGAUGGGUCUAGCCUUUGUUUUCUUGUGGAACAGUGUAAGUUGUGAUUUCUCUGUUCAUUAUCUUCUGGUUAACCCUUAGCAUCCCUUAUACAAAGUAAUGAAAUUUGAAACUGACAUCAUGAAUAGGUUGGAAUAUGAAGGAGAGGCAUCUAGGCAGCUCUCUAACACCACAUUCUACAGGCCAUUACCCUCUGAUCCCACUGACGGUUACCAAAAGAAACUACACCCUCUGCUCAAGAAACUCCCUGAAAAAGAACAGGAACAAAUCUGCACAGAUACACCCCUAGAAUCCCGACCAGGGGUAUUCUAUCUGCUAUCCAAGAUCCAUAAACAGGGUCAUCCUGGAUGCCCCAUCAUUUCAGGCAUUGGCAUCCUGACAGCAGGAUUGUCUGGCUAUGUAGACUCUCUCCUCAGGCCCUACGCUACCAGCACUCCUAGCUAUCUUCAAGACAACACUGACUUCCUGAGGAAACUACAAUCCAUCGGUGAUCUUCCAGAAAACACCAUCCUGGCCACCACGGAUGUAGAAGCCCUCUACACCAACAUUCCACACAAAGAUGGACUACAAGCCAUCAGGAACAGCAUCCCCAGUAAUGUCACAGCAAACGUGGUGGCUGAACUUUGUGACUUUGUCCUCACCCACAACUAUUUCACAUUUGGGGACAAUAUAUACCUUCAAGUCAGCACCACUGCUAUGGGUACCCGCAUGACCCCACAGUAUGCUGCCAACAUUUUUAUGGCUGACUUAGAACAACGCUUCCUCAGCUCUCGUCUUCUAACGCCCCUACUCUACUUGUGCUACAUUGAUGACAUCUUCAUCAUCUGGACCCAUGGAAAAGAAGCCCUUGAGGAAUUCCACUAU
rnacentral:lncRNA from 1 species